rnacentral:rRNA from 1 species
UACGGAGGGUGCGAGCGUUGUUCGGAAUCACUGGGCGUAAAGCGCGUGUAGGCGGCCCAUUAAGUCUGAUGUGAAAGCCCGGGGCUCACCCCCGGAAGUGCAUUGGAAACUGAUGGACUCGAGUCCCGGAGAGGAGAGUGGAAUUCCUGGUGUAGCGGUGAAACGCGUAGAUAUCAGAAGGAACAUCAGUGGCGAAAGCGGCUUCCUGGUCCAGUACCGACGUUCAGGCACGAAAGCGUGGGGAGCAAACAGG